rnacentral:rRNA from 1 species
UACGGAGGAGGCAAGCGUUAUACGGAAUUAUUGGGCGUAAAGCGUCCGCAGGUGGCUAAUUAAGUCUGAGGUUAAAGACUGGAGCUCAACUCCAGAAGAGCCGUGGAAACUGACAAGCUAGAGACCGGUAGGGGUAGAGGGAAUUCACAGUGUAGCGGUGAAAUGCUUAGAGAUUGGGAGGAACACCGGUGGCGAAAGCGCUCUGCUGGAACGGAACUGACGCUGAGGGUCGAAAUCUAGGGGAGCAAAUAGG